rnacentral:rRNA from 1 species
UACGUAGGGUGCAAGCGUUGUCCGGAAUUAUUGGGCGUAAAGAGCUCGUAGGCGGCCUGUCGCGUCGGCUGUGAAAACCCGGGGCUCAACCCCGGGCCUGCAGUCGAUACGGGCAGGCUAGAGUCCGGCAGGGGAGACUGGAAUUCCUGGUGUAGCGGUGAAAUGCGUUGAUAUCAUCAGGAACACCGGUGGCGAAGGCGGCUUUCUGGGUCUUACCUGACGCUGAGGAACGAAAGCCAGGGGAGCGAACGGG